rnacentral:rRNA from 1 species
UCCGGAUAACGCAUAUUUGCUGGAAUGCUUUAUGCGUCAAAAGGAUUCGUCUGCCCAAGGAUGGGUCUGCGGCCUAUCAGGUAGUAGUGGGUGUAAUGUACCUACUAGCCAGCGACGGGUACGGGUUGUGAGAGCAAGAGCCCGGAGAUGGAUUCUGAGACAUGAAUCCAGGCCCUACGGGGCGCAGCAGGCGCGAAAACUUUACAAUGCGGGAAACCGUGAUAAGGGGACACCGAGUGCCAGCAUCAUAUGCUGGCUGUCCGGAUGUGUAAAAUACAUCCGUUAGCAAGGGCCGGGCAAGACCGGUGCCAGCCGCCGCGGUAACACCGGCGGCCCGAGUGGUGAUCGUGAUUAUUGGGUCUAAAGGGUCCGUAGCCGGUUUGGUCAGUCCUCCGGGAAAUCUGACAGCUUAACUAUUAGGCUUUCGGGGGAUACUGCCAGACUUGGAACCGGGAGAGGUAAGAGGUACUACAGGGGUAGGAGUGAAAUCUUGUAAUCCCUGUGGGACCACCUGUGGCGAAGGCGUCUUACCAGAACGGGUUCGACGGUGAGGGACGAAAGCUGGGGGCACGAACCGGAUUAGAUACCCGGGCAGUCCCAGCCGUAAACGAUGCUCGCUAGGUGUCAGCAUGGCGCGACCGUGUCUGGUGCCGCAGGAAGCCGUGAAGCGAGCCACCUGGGAAGUACGGCCGCAAGGCUGAAACUUAAAGGAAUUGGCAGGGGAGCACAACAACGGGUGGAGCCUGCGGUUUAAUUGGACUCAACGCCGGACAACUCACCGGGGGCGACAGCAAUAUGUAGGCCAAGCUGAAGACUUUGCCUGAAUCGCUGAGAGGAGGUGCAUGGCCGUCGCCAGUUCGUACUGUGAAGCAUCCUGUUAAGUCAGGCAACGAGCGAGACCCGUGCCCACUGUUACCAGCAUGUCCUCCGGGACGAUGGGUACUCUGUGGGGACCGCCGAUGUUAAAUCGGAGGAAGGUGCGGGCCACGGUAGGUCAGUAUGCCCCGAAUCUCCCGGGCUACACGCGGGCUACAAUGGAUGGGACAAUGGGUCCCUCCCCUGAAAAGGGCUGGUAAUCUCACAAACCCAUUCGUAGUUCGGAUCGAGGGCUGUAACUCGCC